rnacentral:rRNA from 1 species
AACGAACGCUGGCGGCAGGCCUAACACAUGCAAGUCGAGCGCCCCGCAAGGGGAGCGGCAGACGGGUGAGUAACGCGUGGGAAUCUACCCAUCCCUACGGAAUAGCUCCGGGAAACUGGAAUUAAUACCGUAUACGCCCUACGGGGGAAAGAUUUAUCGGGGGUGGAUGAGCCCGCGUUGGAUUAGCUAGUUGGUGGGGUAAAAGCCUACCAAGGCGACGAUCCAUAGCUGGUCUGAGAGGAUGAUCAGCCACAUUGGGACUGAGAAACGGCCCACCAUCAUACGGACGGGAGCAGUGGGGAAAAUUGGACAAUGAGGCAACACUGAUCCAGCCAUGCCGCGUGAGUGAUGAAGGCCUUAGGGUUGUAAAGCUCUUUCACCGGGGAAGAUAAUGACGGUACCCGGAGAAGAAGCCCCGGCUAACUUCGUGCCAGCCGCCGCGGUAA